GGCCAUCAGAAUCUGAUCUACCAUCACCUGCAAAGACAGAAAUAGAUCAUUCCUCUCAUGGUUUUGUUACUAUCUAAAUACAUAGAAAUAGAGGAGAUCUCUCUUGAAACAUUGCAACGAUUCAGAACAGAUAGUUCAAUUAAAUAAGGGAACACACAAUAAAACACACC